rfam:Triticum aestivum genome assembly, contig: Triticum_aestivum_CS42_TGACv1_scaffold_321641_4BL
CUUAUACUCCCUCCGUCCGGAAAUACUUGUCGGAGAAAUGGAUGUAUCUAGACAUAAUUUGGUUCUAAAUACAUCCAUUUCCACGACAAGUAAUUCCGGACGGAGGGAGUAUUUA